rnacentral:rRNA from 1 species
UACAGAGGUCUCAACCGUUGUUCGGAUUCAUUGGGCGUAAAGGGUGCGUAGGCGGUCGUGCAAGUCGGAUGUGAAAUCUCAGGGCUCAACCCUGAAACUGCAUUCGAUACUGCGCGGCUAGAGUGCUGGAGGGGAGACUGGAAUUUACGGUGUAGCAGUGAAAUGCGUAGAUAUCGUAAGGAGGACCAGUGGCGAAGGCGAGUCUCUGGACAGCAACUGACGCUGAGGCACGAAGGCCAGGGGAGCAAACGGG